AGAUGACAGAAAUUAAGGGAGGAUGGGGGACUGCGAAAUGUCACAGCUGUGGAGACUUGAAAGAGGCUUGGCAUGGAGGUGGAGGUAACACAGCGCACCUGGGGCAAGCAGACGUGUAAUGUUAAGGCACUAACUACAGAGUGUAUGGAGACACACACACACAGCAGCAGAGAGAGACGUUCAUGUGUGAAAUGAGAUCUCUGCACAAUCAGUGGGAGUUGCAGCUAUAAAGCACAUCAAGCUUUUCAGCUUUAAGAUAAACCCAUUUGUGGACAUUCAAAAAUGAAACCGAGUGGUGGGUCCAGUCACCAGGUUUUUGUUUGUUUUUUUCUGAAAAAGAAGAGCAGAAAUUUUGCACCAAAUAAAAACUCAUCAAUCUUUAUUUCUAACAACUUAAAAAAAACAACUUAUUCUUGCAACCGAAAUAAACCGUAGUUUAGACACAUAAAUUAUAGUAAUACAUAAACCUUCUCAACUUUUAUGCUCUACUUUAGCUUGACAAA